AAAAGGUGGCUAUGCUACCGCUUUUGGAUGGGCCCGCGGCGCAUUAGCUAGUUGGUGGGGUAAAGGCUUACCAAGGCAAUGAUGCGUAGCCGAACUGAGAGGUUGAUCGGCCACAUUGGGACUGAGACACGGCCCAAACUCCUACGGGAGGCAGCAGUAGGGAAUCUUCCACAAUGGGCGAAAGCCUGAUGGAGCAACGCCGCGUGGGUGAAGAAGGUCUUCGGAUCGUAAAACCCUGUUGUUAGAGAAGAAAGUGCGUGAGAGUAACUGUUCACGUUUCGACGGUAUCUAACCAGAAAGCCACGGCUAACUACGUGCCAGCAGCCGCGGUAAUACGUAGGUGGCAAGCGUUAUCCGGAUUUAUUGGGCGUAAAGGGAACGCAGGCGGUCUUUUAAGUCUGAUGUGAAAGCCUUCGGCUUAACCGGAGUAGUGCAUUGGAAACUGGGAGACUUGAGUGCAGAAGAGGAGAGUGGAACUCCAUGUGUAGCGGUGAAAUGCGUAGAUAUAUGGAAGAACACCAGUGGCGAAAGCGGCUCUCUGGUCUGUAACUGACGCUGAGGUUCGAAAGCGUGGGUAGCAAACAGGAUUAGAUACCCUGGUAGUCCACGCCGUAAACGAUGAAUGCUAAGUGUUGGAGGGUUUC
rnacentral:rRNA from 1 species